CUUCUCCUUCUUCUUCCUCUUCUCCUUCUUUUUCUUCUUCUUCUUCUUCUUCUUCUUCCGGCUGGGUGCUUGUCCUUGCUUUGAUUUCCGUGCCUCAAGUGGGGAUCAGACCAUGAACCGGUUUAGAUUAUGAACCGGUUCCACCUAAUCCUUGUAUUGGGUUUGAUAUGAAUUUGAGUGAAUAGGUUUGGGUUAUGGUUUGGAUCUGAGUCAGAAAUUGGGGUUAGCCUGAUUUGAGUGUAAUCUGGUUCGUCAAGAUUUAAUCUAAUCUGGUCUGGUCAGACCUGGUUUGGGUUGGGCUAGGGACCUGUUUUUGGGCUGAGUUGGGUCUGAUUGGAUUUGUGGGCUGGUUUGGUUUGGGCCCGAGAUCUGAUUUGGACCUGUAAUCUGGUUUGGUUCAUUUGGGCCUAAUCUGUGUUGGGCCACAAUUGGUUUGGGUCUAAAGAAUUCUGAUUUUUGGGAUCUAGUUUACUUAUUCUUGGAUCUAUGAACUUAGGAGUUUAGGGGAUUGGAAUUAGUUUAAAUUAUGUUUCUUAAUUAAUUAAAUAAUUAAUAUUUAUGUUUAAUCAGGGGUUCGUGAUAUCUGUGGCAGGGAUUUUUAAGCGAGCCCAGGAGAUGAUUGAUGGGGGAUUCGGGAGGAGAGGACUUAUGACACUGGACAUAGAUAGAUUUAGAUUCAUUUUGUCAUAAGUAAUUGAUCUUGUAAAUAAAUGUUAUCAACUUUAUUUGAGACAUUUGAAAUUGAAUUAUUGAUUUGAUUAUCAUAAAUGAUAGAUUUUUAGUAUUGA